GCACAAGCGGUGGAGUAUGUGGUUAAUUCGAUGCAACGCGAAGAACCUUACCUGGUCUUGACAUCCCGGAGACCCUUAGGAAACUAGGGGGUGCUUCCAUCUGGAAGAAUCUGGAGACAGGUGCUGCAUGGCUGUCGUCAGCUCGUGUCGUGAGAUGUUGGGUUAAGUCCCGCAACGAGCGCAACCCUUGCCUUUAGUUGCCAGCAGUUCGGGCUGGGCACUCUAAAGGGACUGCCGGUGUUAAACCGGAGGAAGGUGGGGAUGACGUCAAGUCCUCAUGGCCUUUAUGACCAGGGCUACACACGUACUACAAUGGCCGAUACAAAGGGCAGCGACACUGCGAGGUGAAGCCAAUCCCGUAAAAUCGGUCUCAGUCCGGAUUGGAGUCUGCAACUCGACUCCAUGAAGUUGGAAUCGCUAGUAAUCGUGGAUCAGCAUGCCACGGUGAAUACGUUCCCGGGCCUU
rnacentral:rRNA from 1 species